UCUUGUACCAUACUGAUAUAAAAAUACAAAAAUGAAGAAAAUAUAUUCCAUUCAUUGAAAUUAACAACAUAAAUUAAAAUAAAAAAUAGAAUAAAUAAUUUUAAAAUAACAUUAAGCAACAUCAGAGAACCAUGAACAUGCAAAUGUGAUAAUUAUUAAAUAUUUAUUUUAAAAUCUCAGGGGUACUUUAAGUAAAUAUAUUAGGCUAAAAACUGAAAAGUUUUUCCCUUGUGUUUUUAAAAAGUUUCACGUAUACACAACGUUUUCAAAAUGAUUUGCAUUUACACAUAUCUGCAAAAACAACCAAAAAUACUGUAUUACGUAUGCCAGGCCAGUAGUUGGUGCUGUCACCUUGUUAGUAAACAGUACCUGUAGGGAAGUGACGAUUUUAUGUUGUAUAUGAUGCGUCUCCACUGUUUGUUGUUAUAUUGGUGUAGUAAAUCAACUCAGUUACGUAUGUAACCGUGGUUACCUGAAUAGGGAAUGAGAUGCUGUGAUGACGUCAUCGCUAUGAGAACACCGCCGGUAUGACGAAUGUCUGAAACCCUUAUAUCAUCACGCCAAUUUAUUGGCCAAUAGUGCUUAGCACUGCCCCGAGCCUAAGUCACUUAUGCUCAUAUAUGUGUGCUGUGCGCUAUUUCAUCAGAUUUUACACUAUGACGAAGGAAGCGCUAUCGAAGGUUCACUUCAAUGCUGCUAUGACGUCAUCGCUAUGGGAACAUUAUACCAUCACGCCUGACGUACCUUAGAUAGCUGGAAGACCGAGGAAAGAUUCUGCUCAAGCAGAAGGGACCGGGGAGCCAAGAGCCAUCCUCACAUCCAGACAAGUAGAACUUGAUGAAAGUGCUAGGAGAGGACUAACCUGCCACAGCACAGACAUCUCCCAUCAAAGGCCCAUUAAAGAGAGCUUAAGAAGAAGCCAUUGCUCUUGCAGAAAGAGCACGCAACUUUAGAGGUGAAGUCACAUCACGCGCAUCAUAGGCUAGAGAAAUAGUCACUAUCUGACCCCGCAUAGCAGUGGAGAAAGCCUUCAACCACUUGCUGAGUCGAAGCAGCCUUAGGAUUAACUAGGCCUAGGAAGCAAUAAGACUUUAACCAGCCUCGGGGCAAAGUCCAUACAAAAGGGGCUGACAGAGCCUGCAGAUCCUUAGUCCUCUAAGAGAGGAUAAGAUUACCAAAAAACUGCUUAAGGUUUCAAAGUUAUCUGACAGACAAUCCAUGUAUGAGACCACAGCCGUGUUGUCAGUCCUAGACCUAAUAUGACAACCACUCAAUUGGGUAAGAACCAUUUGAGUGCAAGAAAGCCGCUCCAAUCAGUUUGUGUGAUUGAGCUAAUAUCAGCCAGUCGUCAAGUUAACUAAAAAUUCAGACAUUCUGCAACAGCAGGGC
ensembl:lncRNA